GCGCACCAGUCGCGAAACUUCACACUGUGCGAAAGCACGAUGAGGGAAUCCCAAGUGCUUGCACGUAAGUGUAAGCUGUUUCUCUGUUUAAAACGCAGAGAGAGUAAGGGCUGGGUAAGACGGGUGCCAGCCGCCGCGGUAAUACCUGCAGCUCAAGUGGUGACCGUUAUUAUUGGGCCUAAAACGUCCGUAGCCGGUUUAAUAAAUGCCUGGGUAAAUCGUGUAGCUUAACUACACGAAUUCCGGGUAGACUGUUAAACUCGAGACCGGGAGAAGUUAGAGGUACUCCUGGGGUAGAGGUGAAAUUCUGUAAUCCUAGGGGGACCACCAGUGGCGAAGGCGUCUAACUAGAACGGGUCUGACGGUGAGGGACGAAGCCCUGGGGCGCAAACGGGAUUAGAUACCCGCGUAGU
rnacentral:rRNA from 1 species